CAACCCUCAGGCUCCCGCGCCUGGUGCUGGGGAUCGGCCUUCACCGGCCGGCCCCGAAAUACAGUGGCGGCCCCGCCCGUGUACCUCUGCGUAGUAGCAUACACCUCGCAGCUGGAAGCGGCGGCGGCCACGCCGGAAAACCCCCGACUUCUGAA
rnacentral:misc_RNA from 2 species